AAAGCAGGGAUUGUGUGUAUUGGCGUUGUGCUAUUAUAAAUGCGCUUUGCUUGAAAGUGUUCUCUGCAAAAUUGAUUUUUUGGGGAAGAUGGGCAGUUGUGUUUCAUCUGUUCACUGGAAAUUUCAACAAUCAUUUUCCCCACAUUU
rnacentral:snoRNA from 1 species